UCUUCAGAACAAAGUGUAUAUCUAUGACAAAGUUUUCAAACCCAAUGCCACCCAAGAAAAAGUUUAUAAUGAAGCUGCAAAAGCCAUUGUUAAAGAUGUUCUUAUGGGCUACAAUGGAACAAUAUUUGCUUAUGGACAGACAUCUAGUGGAAAAACACACACGAUGGAGGGUGUGUUGGAGGAUCCAAUCAAACAGGGCGUAAUUCCACGUAUUGUUAAUGAUAUAUUUAAUUACAUUUAUUCCAUGGAUGAAAAUGUGGAGUUCCAUAUUAAGGUAUCUUAUUUUGAAAUAUAUCUUGACAAGGUGAAGGAUCUUUUAGAUGUUACAAAAACUAACUUAUCAGUUCAUGAAGACAAAAACAGAGUUCCUUAUGUCAAGGGGGCAACAGAGAGGUUUGUAACCAGCCCUGAAGAAGUGAUGGAAGUUAUUGAUGAGGGGAAAUCCAACAGACAUAUAGCUGUCACAAACAUGAAUGAACAUAGCUCUAGAAGUCAUAGUGUCUUCCUAAUCAAUGUUAAACAAGAGCACAUGGAGAAUCAGAAGAAACUUAGUGGUAAACUUUACUUGGUGGAUUUAGCUGGAAGUGAAAAAGUGAGUAAAACAGGGGCUGAAGGAAUGGUUUUGGAUGAAGCCAAGAAUAUUAACAAAUCUCUGUCUGCCCUGGGCAAUGUUAUCUCAGCACUAGCUGAUGGAAAUAAAAGUCACAUCCCUUAUCGUGACAGCAAACUCACUCGAAUCCUUCAAGAAAGUUUAGGAGGAAAUUCUCGCACUACAAUAAUUAUUUGCUGUUCUCCUGCCUCUUACAAUGAGACUGAGACCAAGUCAACACUUGAUUUUGGUAGAAGAGCUAAAACUAUCAAGAAUACUGUAAUAAUAAAUGAGGAAUUAACAGCUGAGGAAUGGAAGCGUCGCUACGAAAAAGAGAAAGAUAGGAAUGCUAAGCUAAAGAUUCAGCUGGAACGAGUGGAAGCAGAACUCAAUCGUUGGAGAAAUGGAGAGACAGUACCUCAGGAUGAACAACUUACUAGCAAGGAGUUGGAAACCAGUACUCUGAGUCUCUCUGAGUCUUCUUCUGUGGUCAGCUUACCUAACUUAGCACCUCUGACAUCUGCUGAACCAAUGACCAGUGAGGAGAGAGCCAAGUUUAUGGAGGAGAGAGCUCGCCUAUAUUCGGAUAUGGAUGAAAAAGAUGAUGAAAUUGAUCGUCAGAGUCAGUUAAUUGAAUCCUUCAAAGAACAGAUGCUAGAGCAAGGAGAGUUAAUCAUGUCCACUCGUCGAGAUUAUGAGAACCUACAGCAAGAGAUGAACAAGAUCCAGCAGGAAAAUGAAUCCGCUAAGGAGGAGGUGAAAGAAGUGCUUCAGGCACUGGAGGAGCUGGCUGUAAACUAUGAUCAAAAGUCACAAGAAGUGGAAACAAAAAGCAGAGAUUGUGAUACUCUUGCUGAAGAAAUGAAUGUAAAGUUGUCUGAGCUGAGUACCUGUCAGAAUGAACUACAACAGCAAAAGGAACAAAGUACUCACCACCGUAAAAGGGUUAUAGAAUUGUUAACCAAUUUGAUGAAAGAUCUUGGUGAGAUAGGAUCAGUUGUUGGAGGAAAUGGUGCUGAGAUGAAACUUUCAACAGAUGUAAGUGGAAAAAUUGAAGAAGAAUUUACUGUUGCUCGCUUGUAUGUCAGCAAAAUGAAGUCUGAAGUAAAGGCGUUAACUCAGCGUUGUGGCCAGUUGGAAACCUUCCAGUUUGAAAGUAACAAAAAGGUUGAAGAAAAUGAGAAAGAGCUUGCCGAAUGUCGGUUGCUAAUUAGUCAGUAUGAGGCCAAAGUGAAGUCCCUUCAGGAAUCUAUGCGGGAUGUGGAAAGUAAGAGGCGGACCUUAGAGGAAGCUGUAGAUCAGAUGAAUGAAGAAUGUGCUAAGCUGAAAGCAGCUGAAGAAAUGCAUAUUGUAACAUCCAUGGAAAAGGAAAAGGAGAAAGACAGUGCUGAAAAAAUGAAAAUUGCUUUAGAGCAACAAAUAGAAAAACACAGAGAGUCACAUCAGAAACAGCUUUCCACACUAAGAAAUGAAUUGUCAGAAAAACAAGAUCAAAUUAGUGAAUUAAAAGAUAUGAACCAGAAGCUCUCAUUAGCACAAGAACAGCUGCAAAAAGAGUAUGAGAAGUUGAAAAUGGAGGAGCAAGACAAAAAUAGAAAACUUCAGGAACUAACUUUACUGAAUGAUCGUCAGGACCAAGCUCGCCAAGAUUUAAAAGGACUGGAAGAGACAGUGGCAAAAGAACUCCAGACUCUUCACAACUUAAGGAGGUUAUUCGUUCAGGAUUUGCAGAGUCGGGUAAAGAAAUCUGUUGCUGGUGAAGAGAGUGAAGAUGCAGGUGGCAGUCCUGCACAAAAGCAGAAAAUUGCUUUUUUGGAGAAUAAUUUAGAUCAGUUGACUAAAGUCCAUAAGCAGCUUGUCCGUGAUAAUGCUGAUCUGCGAUGUGAACUACCUAAAUUGGAGAAACGGUUGCGUGCGACCAUGGAGAGGGUCAAGUGUCUGGAGACAGCACUGAAAGAUGCUAAGGAGAGUGCUAUGAAAGACAGAAAGAGAUAUAUAAGUGAAGUAGAUAGAAUCAAAGAGGCAGUGAGACAGAAACAUUUUGCCAAAAGAGGACAUGUCGCUCAAAUUGCUAAGCCGAUUCGAGCUGGGCAUCAUCCUGGAAUGUCCAGUGGGCAAGGAAUAAGAGGAGGAGGAGGGAUGGCCAUGGAAAAAAUGAAAACCAGUGACUGAGGUAAAGAAGAAAGCUUCUACUACUCCCAAGACCCCCAGUAUUUCAAAGUCACAAGAACAAGAGAUGCAGUAACAACUUUUCCAUCUGUGUAUACUAGGUGGGUAAACUGUGUGUUUUAUUUUCUUGCAAAUAAAGUUCAACAACAUUGAGUCUCGUACACAAGUCUAUAAGAUACACCUGAAGAACAUUAAAUAUAGGACUUGAAACUGUGGGUGGGAAACAGCCACAUCCCAAUGUUUUCAUAAUGGUGAAAUGGUACAAUUUUUCAAGUAAUAGUUUCUUGUUCCGUGCUCUCACAUUUAUCAGAAGUGUAAAUAUUGAAACUUGCAGUGUGUGGAUACACUUGUUAGAUAUACAGGUGGUUUAGGCAUAGAUCUAGUUGAUUGAUUAGUGUUUGAACUGUAUUAAGAAAAAACUUGCAGCUCUUUUGUUUUGUUUGUUUACUCUUAAAGGAGAAUAAACUUAUUUUAUUUCUUGGUUGGCUACUUCAAUUUUAAUUUGUGAAAAUUAACAUUUUUAGCAGUUAUGUAAAGAUGGUAAAAUGAUAGCAGGAAAUUAGUUAAAUUUUUCCACAGUGAUUGAAAAUAAGAAAAUGCAUUUCUGUUGUAUUGGUUCAGAAAAUUAUAACUAGAAGUAAUAGUUUAAAGUUUUUACUGUUGUGAUACUGAAUUAUUAUCAAUACUAUCCUUAAAUAGUUGAUGAGUAUUGUUACAUUUGUGUAUAUACAUUUUAAAGUGGUCUUUUUUUGUGUAGCAUAUAUUGAUGCAGAAUAUUGAGUAAACCAGUUUUAAUUAAUCUGUAUCACAAGGAAAUAUUUAAUUUGUAGUUUUCCAAAAGGCAGAAGUUAUGAAUAAUUAAGGUUUUUAUGAAACCAUGAAUGAAAAUAUUUUGUCUGGUACUAGAGUGGUGAUCAAAAGGCAAAUACCCAUAAUUGUUUUUUAUUUUAUUACCUUUCUUUGUUUAUGCAAGUGUUUGUUCAGUUUUUGACUUUCCUGAAAUUAUAAAUAUUUAAAUAAUAGUGAUACUGUCUUUUGUAAAAUUGUGUCUUUUCACAACACAUCUUUACUCUAAGUAGUUUAAUAAUUUUUACAAAUAUUAGAGGUAGAACUUGUAGUGGUUCAGACACAGAUAAAAAUGUCAUUAACUGGGAAACUUUGAAUAACUUCUAUUAUUUGGUUAAUUUGUGGCAAAGACAUAUUAAGCAACAGAAUCAAAAUAAUUUUUAUGUGGCAGUAGGUAAUAUACUGUAAUUGUGGUUACAAAGUUAGUAGUUGCAACUGACUUGACAGGUUAAUGAUUUGGGCUGUUAUUUAAUUGGCAUAUGUCAUGGGAUUGACAUAUCUGCUUGCAGUUUCAGUUUAAGUUGAGUGGAACCAAAAUCUGGUGUGUAUAGAAAAUGGGUGAAAAUACAUUUUAUAUUGAUGUAAAUGAAUAGCAUGUGUGUGCUCUUUUUCCCUUUGGGUGAAUAAAUGAGAUUUACAAAUCUUUUUUAAGUUGUUCAUUUGUAUGUGAUUGUCAAAGAAUAUAAUAAAGAUUAAUUUUUUGUAAA
rnacentral:misc_RNA from 1 species